rnacentral:rRNA from 1 species
GGAGUUUGGGCCGUGUCUCAGUCCCAAUGUGGCCGGUCACCCUCUCAGGUCGGCUAUGGAUCGUCGGCUUGGUGGGCCGUUACCUCACCGACUACCUAAUCCAACGCGGGCUCAUCCCAUACCACCGGAGUUUUUCACACUGCACCAUGCGAUGCCGUGCGCUUAUGCGGUAUUAGCAGUCGUUUCCAACUGUUGUCCCCCGGUAUGGGGCAGAUUGCCCACGCGUUACUCACCCGUCCGCCACUAAGUCAUAAGAUCUUCAAUCCGAAGAAAUCUGAUCAGAUGCUUCGUUCGACUUGCAUGUGUUAAGCACGCCGCCAGCGUUCAUC